rnacentral:rRNA from 1 species
AUCUAUGGCCAUAUCACCCUGAAUUCAGCCGAUCUCGUUUGAUCUCAGAAGCUAAGCAGGGUUGGGCCUGCUUAGUACUUGGAUGGGAGAAAAUCCAGCAUCCAUUCAUG